rnacentral:lncRNA from 1 species
UAAGUAGAACAUAGAGAAACAUAAAAUCAAACAUGAACUGAAAAGAAAUUGAGAGACUUUAGUUCUCUAAUAUUGUUAACCUCAAUCCUCAAAUUAAUAUUUCAACGCAGGCAGAUAUAUUUAAGGGGGAAAUAGAGGAGACAAAAAUAGGAAUAAUGUUUCUUAGAUUAUUACCAACCAGAGAGGCUCGAAGCACAUAGAAAGAUGAUGAGUGACAGAUCGGCGGACGAAGAACAAACGAGUCACGACACAAGAUCUGUGAAGAACGGCGGAGAACAAAGGAAAUGAAAACAAGCAAAAUAACAUCUAGCAAUAUAAAUUUUUCCAGAAAUAAUAGUACACAAAAUAAAAACACCGAACUUGAGAUGUGAGGCUCAAAUGAAAUCAAUGAACUUUUCUCAACGAGAGAACAAUGAACCUGGGAUGAAAACAACCAACUCUGCUCAACGAGAGAAAGAAAGAGAAGGUUUGUCAUGAUAAGCUUUGUCAGAGAUUUAAAUAUUAGGGAUUGAAAUGAUGAAUUAGUUUAGGGGUUUGGAUUCAGAAGGAUUUAGGGAUUUGUGGUUGCAGGAACUCCACAGUGCGCCAAAGGAAAACGGCGAUGCGGCGAAGCAGCGAUGCUGUGAUGAAAGGGUUUUUGCGUUUUAGAAGUUUG